ACCAUGGCCUGGUCCCCUCUCCUGCUCACCCUCAUCACUCUCUGCACAGUAUCCUGGGCCCAGUCAGUGCUGACUCAGCCGGCCUCAGUGUCUGGGAACCUGGGCCAGAGGUUCACCAUCUCCUGCACUGGGAGCAGCUCCAACACCAGGGAUAAUUAUGUGAACUGGUACCAGCAGCUCCCAGGAACCGCCCCCAAACUCAUCAUCUAUGAAAAUAGCAAAAGACCCUCUGGGACCCCAGAUCGAAUCUCUGGCUCCAAGUCUGGAAACCUGGCCUCCCUGACCAUCACUGGGCUCCAGGCUGAGGAUGAGGCUGAUUAUUACUGCCAGUCCUAUGAUGACAACCUGAAUGCUCACACAGUGCUGCAGCCCUGUGGGGAACUUUCAGAAGGACUGGACCAGAUCACUCACGCCAUCACCCAGCUCCAUCAUGGUGAGCAGGAGGGCAUUGUCUGA